GACGAACGCUGGCGGCGUGCCUAAUACAUGCCAGUAGAACGCUGAAGGAGGAGCUUGCUUCUCUGGAUGAGUUGCGAACGGGUGAGUAACGCGUAGGUAACCUGCCUGGUAGCGGGGGAUAACUAUUGGAAACGAUAGCUAAUACCGCAUAAUAGUAGAUGUCGCAUGACAUUUGCUUAAAAGGUGCAAUUGCAUCACUACCAGAUGGACCUGCGUUGUAUUAGCUAGUUGGUGAGGUAACGGCUCACCAAGGCAACGAUACAUAGCCGACCUGAGAGGGUGGUCGGCCACACUGGGACUGAGACACGGCCCAGACUCCUACGGGAGGCAGCAGUAGGGAAUCUUCGGCAAUGGACGGAAGUCUGACCGAGCAACGCCGCGUGAGUGAAGAAGGUUUUCGGAUCGUAAAGCUCUGUUGUAAGAGAAGAACGAGUGUGAGAGUGGAAAGUUCACACUGUGACGGUAUCUUACCAGAAAGGGACGGCUAACUACGUG
rnacentral:rRNA from 1 species